UUCGUUCCCGCUCAUGAUGAUCUCCGUCACCAGGUCUUGCUGCUAGCCCACUCGGCUGGCCAUGAGGGUGUGCAGAAAACCCUCCAUCGUCUCCGUGCCGACUUCUACAUUCCCGAUGAUCGUGCCCUCGUUCGCGAUUGGGUGCGCUCUUGUGCGACGUGUCAGCGCAACAAGACGGAGACGCUACGGCCAGCUGGUCUUCUUCAACCCCUGGAUGUGCCUUCUCAGGUUUGGGCCGAUAUCUCCAUGGACUUCAUCGAGGGGCUUCCCAAGGUGGGAGGCAAGUCGGUCAUUCUCACGGUGGUCGACCGCUUUUCUAAAUAUGCUCACUUCAUCGCGCUGGGGCAUCCUUACACCGCCGCGUCCGUGGCUCGUGCCUUCUUCGACGGUAUUGUCCGUCUGCAUGGAUUUCCUGCUUCGAUCGUCAGUGAUUGCGACACGGUGUUCACAGGCCAUGUCUGGCGCGAUCUCUUCAGGAUGGCGGGCGUUAAGCUCCGCUUCAGCACGACCUUCCACCCCCAGACGGACGGCCAAUCAGAGGUGGUUAACAAGGUGAUCGCCAUGUAUUUACGCUGUGUUACAGGUGAUCGGCCUCGUGCUUGGGUGGAUUGGCUCGCAUGGGCGGAGUACUGCUACAACACCUCCUACCACUCUGCCCUGCGUGCGACACCAUUUGAGGUGGUCUACGGGCGGCCACCUUCGCCGAUCUUGCCGGUGGACCCGGCUACGGCGAGGACGGAGGCCGCGGGCGACCUUAUUUGCACCCGUGACGAGAUGCUUGCGGAGGUCCGUCAGCGUCUCCUUCAGGCUCAGCAGCUGGCGCAACAUUACUACAACAACCACCAUCGCGAGGCGGAGUUCGCGGUGGGUGAUUGGGUGUGGCUGCGUCUUCUUCACCGC
rnacentral:rRNA from 1 species